rnacentral:rRNA from 1 species
UACGAAGGGGGCUAGCGUUGCUCGGAAUCACUGGGCGUAAAGGGUGCGUAGGCGGGUCUUUAAGUCAGGGGUGAAAUCCUGGAGCUCAACUCCAGAACUGCCUUUGAUACUGAGGAUCUUGAGUUCGGGAGAGGUGAGUGGAACUGCGAGUGUAGAGGUGAAAUUCGUAGAUAUUCGCAAGAACACCCGUGGCGAAGGCGGCUCUCUGGGACGGUACUGACGCUGAGACGCGAAAGCGUGGGGAGCGAACAGG